rnacentral:rRNA from 1 species
AGUGAACGCUGGCGGUGGGCCUAACACAUGCAAGUCGAACGGCAGCACAGUAAGAGCUUGCUCUUACGGGUGGCGAGUGGCGGACGGGUGAGGAAUACAUCGGAAUCUACCUUUUCGUGGGGGAUAACGUAGGGAAACUUACGCUAAUACCGCAUACGACCUACGGGUGAAAGCAGGGGAUCUUCGGACCUUGCGCGAUUGAAUGAGCCGAUGUCGGAUUAGCUAGUUGGCGGGGUAAAGGCCCACCAAGGCGACGAUCCGUAGCUGGUCUGAGAGGAUGAUCAGCCACACUGGAACUGAGACACGGUCCAGACUCCUACGGGAGGCAGCAGUGGGGAAUAUUGGACAAUGGGCGCAAGCCUGAUCCAGCCAUACCGCGUGGGUGAAGAAGGCCUUCGGGUUGUAAAGCCCUUUUGUUGGGAAAGAAAAGCAGCAGGUUAAUACCCCGCUGUUCUGACGGUACCCAAAGAAUAAGCACCGGCUAACUUCGUG